rnacentral:rRNA from 1 species
ACAUGGCAAGUCGAACGAUGAAGCCCUUCGGGGCUGGAUUAGUGGCGAACGGGUGAGUAACACGUGGGCAAUCUGCCCUUCACUCUGGGACAAGCCCUGGAAACGGGGUCUAAUACCGGAUAACACUCCUGCCUGCAUGGGCGGGGGUUAAAAGCUCCGGCGGUGAAGGAUGAGCCCGCGGCCUAUCAGCUUGUUGGUGGGGUAAUGGCCCACCAAGGCGACGACGGGUAGCCGGCCUGAGAGGGCGACCGGCCACACUGGGACUGAGACACGGCCCAGACUCCUACGGGAGGCAGCAGUGGGGAAUAUUGCACAAUGGGCGAAAGCCUGAUGCAGCGACGCCGCGUGAGGGAUGACGGCCUUCGGGUUGUAAACCUCUUUCAGCAGGGAAGAAGCGAAAGUGACGGUACCUGCAGAAGAAGCGCCGGCUAACUACGUGCCAGCAGCCGCGGUAAUACGUAGGGCGCAAGCGUUGUCCGGAAUUAUUGGGCGUAAAGAGCUCGUAGGCGGCUUGUCACGUCGGAUGUGAAAGCCCGAGGCUUAACCUCGGGUCUGCAUUCGAUACGGGCUANCUAGAGUGUGGUAGGGGAGAUCGGAAUUCCUGGUGUAGCGGUGAAAUGCGCAAAUAUCAGGAGGAAC